rnacentral:rRNA from 1 species
UCCGGAGGGGGCUAUCGUUAUUCGGAAUUACUGGGCGUAAAGCGCACGUAGGCGGAUUGACAAGUCAGAGGUGAAAUCCCAGGGCUCAACCUUGGAACUGCCUUUGAAACUGUCAGUCUUGAGGUCGUGAGAGGUGAGUGGAAUUCCGAGUGUAGAGGUGAAAUUCGUAGAUAUUCGGAGGAACACCAGUGGCGAAGGCGGCUCACUGGCACGAUACUGACGCUGAGGUGCGAAAGCGUGGGGAGAAAACAGG